GACGUAGGGUGCGAGCGUUGUCCGGAUUUAUUGGGCGUAAAGAGCUCGUAGGCGGCUCGUCGCGUCGACCGUGAAAACCCGCAGCUUAACUGCGGGCUUGCGGUUGAUACGGGCGGGCUAGAGUUCGGUAGGGGAGACUGGAAUUCCUGGUGUAGCGGUGAAAUGCGCAGAUAUCAGGAGGAAUACCGAUGGCGAAGGCAGGUCUCUGGGCUGACACUGACGCUCAUGCACGAAAGCGUGGGGAGCGAACAGG
rnacentral:rRNA from 1 species